UGGUUAGGAUUAAUUGGAAUGUAUGUGCCUGACUUUGUGAAGUACCUUGAGACGAUGUGUUGUGAAUUGGCGCUAUAUAAAUAAACUGAAUUGAAUUGGCUUACAACCAAAACUCUUUGUGGUGCAAAACUCCCCAUCACACCAUCUUCCCUGUGAAACAUGAUUGGACAAUCAUGCAGAGUCGAGUGUUUUUAUCAGUAGGUACAGGGCCAGAUUUGGUACAAAGAUGGUUGUUGCUAAAUGGUAUCCUGGGAAAACAAACAGUUGCAAAAUACUUGAGACUGGGACAGAGGUACACCUUCCAGCAGGACAACAAUGCUAAACAUACAGCCAGAGUUACAAGAUGGUUUAAAGCAUGUUCAUGUUCUGUUUUCAUUCAUGUGCAUGUUAUAGGUCUAUCACAUAAACUCCUAAUCAAAUAUAAUGUUUAUGGCUAUAGUGGUACAAAAUGUGGGAAUAUUUCUGAAUAUUAUUGCUAUGCAUUGUAUUUUAUGUACCAAUGAUUGGUUGGUGGACUUCUUUAAUGGCAAGUUUCAGUCUCAUUUUGCAAGGAGCCAUUGUCCUGCCUCUGUUCUGUCUUGUGUUUCCGAAAAAUAGUCCCUGCAUUGUCAUCCAUGGGGUCUUUCCAGUGCUGCAGACAGCAUUACUCCUCUCCUCCUGGUAACCUUUGUCUAAUACCUUCUCUGGUUGUUAUCACAGCUGUUUGCUUUUUAUGUUUCUUCCUUCUGUUUUUAUUUCCUACUUGUGGUGAUAAGAACUGUCACAAUGCUAGUCACUUCAUGCCGCUGCAAGGAAAGGAACAAAAUCGACUCCAGGGUCACCCUUUAUAAGGCUGUGGCUGCAGCCUUCAUUGUUCAUCUGAACGACAUCGAUCUGGACUUUGCCUGUUGUUCACUGUUGGGAUGACACCAGCAGCGUCUAGCUUCAUAUUAAGAAGGAGACCAGAGAUUGGUGCCAGGAAGCCACUUGGCGUCCUUAAAUGCUUUGGGUCUGCCUGUGAGGGAGGCCUGCAUCCUGGGUGGAUGCUGUGAGUUUUGACACAUCUUUAAAACAGACACAAUAUUUAAGAUUUACACAAAAGAGUUCAGGCAGGAGUAUUGAAAGUUUUCAUUACUGAAGGCCACCUUAAAAAAACAAAAACUCGGGCUUAUUGGAAUUAAGUUUUAAGUAAAUGAAGGUUGGGUUUGUGGUAGAUUAAAACUUUGUUAGAUUUGGUAAAUUAAAAGGGUUACUGUUGUUUUUAACCAUAUGUGAAAGUGAAUUCUGUUCUGGACAUAAGAAAACAGUUCCUGAGCAGGCCAGUAGGGCCCGUCCAGGAAGUUGUUCAGAUAAGGAGACUCUUGACCCGAGAGAACCAUUCUUAGAUUCUUGGAAAGAGCCCCAUUUGAACGUUAUCUGCACAAAUAUAGAAAACUGUGGUGCAGACCAGCUGUGGAAUGAGUGGUUGACAGGAACAAAGAGGCUGUUGUGAUACAACUGUCACGUAGAUCAGUUUUGAAAUCUUGCAGAUGUGAUUCUAGUCUUGUGAUUCCUGUAAGGACUGCUAAGAGUCUAGUGUUGUUUGCCAAAACGUGUGCGUAAAUGGAAAUGGCAUAUCGGAUUGGUCAAGAGUUUAUCAUACACAACAAUGAUAUGAAUUGUGUUUAUAUACACCCUGACUUGUGUCAGGAUUCUGGAUUCAUUGGGAUUUUGUAUUAUGAAGAUGUAUUCUGAAUAAAAGAUCUCUGUGUAGGCUUUGAGAGGAAA